rnacentral:rRNA from 1 species
GCAGGCGCGAAACCUUUACACUGUACGCAAGUGCGAUAAGGGGACUCCGAGUGUGAAGGCAUAGAGCCUUCACUUUUGUACACCGUAAGGUGGUGUACGAAUAAGGGCUGGGCAAGACCGGUGCCAGCCGCCGCGGUAAUACCGGCAGCCCGAGUGAUGGCCGAUAUUAUUGGGCCUAAAGCGUCCGUAGCUGGCCGGACAAGUCCGUUGGGAAAUCUGUUCGCUUAACGAGCAGGCGUCCAGCGGAAACUGUUCGGCUUGGGACCGGAAGACCUGAGGGGUACGUCCGGGGUAGGAGUGAAAUCCUGUAAUCCUGGACGGACCACCGGUGGCGAAAGCGCCUCAGGAGGACGGAUCCGACAGUGAGGGACGAAAGCUAGGGUCUCGAACCGGAUUAGAUACCCGGGUAGUCCUAGCUGUAAACGAUGCCCGCUAGGUGUGGCGCAGGCUACGAGCCUGCGCUGUGCCGUAGGGAAGCCGAGAAGCGGGCCGCCUGGGAAGUACGUCUGCAAGGAUGAAACUUAAAGGAAUUGGCGGGGGAGCACUACAACCGGAGGAGCCUGCGGUUUAAUUGGAUUCAACGCCGG